rnacentral:rRNA from 1 species
UACGUAGGGGGCAAGCGUUGUCCGGAAUCAUUGGGCGUAAAGAGCGCGUAGGCGGCCCGGUAAGUCCGCUGUGAAAGUCAAGGGCUCAACCCUUGAAUGCCGGUGGAUACUGGCGAUCUCGAGUCCGGAAGAGGUGAGUGGAACUCCUAGUGUAGAGGUGGAAUUCGUAGAUAUUAGGAAGAACACCAGUGGCGAAGGCGGCUCACUGGUCCGGUACUGACGCUGAGGUGCGAAAGCGUGGGGAGCAAACAGG